GGGGAUGUAGUUAACAAUAACAUUUAAUUUGCAAUUAAAAGGUACUUAUAAGUCUUCCUCA
rnacentral:tRNA from 1 species